GCGGGAGUAGCUCAGUUGGUAGAGCAUCAGCCUUCCAAGCUGAGGGUCGCGAGUCCGAGUCUCGUCUCCCGCU
rnacentral:tRNA from 2 species